rnacentral:ribozyme from 12 species
CACAAAUGCUAAAUGUAGGACGAGAAAAAGGGAGAAAAAUGUAUUAUGUGACAGAAAAUUGCAGUAUGUGACUGUUUUUUCCCCCCCUUUUCUUUUUCUUUCUCCUCUGUUAUCAUGUUGCAGUCACAUGAGAUGUGU